rnacentral:rRNA from 1 species
UACGGAGGGUGCGAGCGUUAAUCGGAAUUACUGGGCGUAAAGCGUGCGCAGGCGGUUUUGUAAGCCAGAUGUGAAAUCCCCGGGCUCAACCUGGGAAUGGCAUUUGGGACUGCAAGGCUGGAGUUUGGCAGAGGAGACUGGAAUUCCCGGUGUAGCAGUGAAAUGCGUAGAUAUCGGGAGGAAUACCGAUGGCGAAGGCAGGUCUCUGGGCUAUAACUGACGCUCAUGCACGAAAGCGUGGGGAGCAAACAGG